CCUUGUAUGAGCCAAAACCACUCACAACCUCGUAACACACUGUCUAAUAUGCUUCAUUUGUUUCUUGCAGAGUGGUCUGACUAUCCUGAAAAAGCAUAUUAAGUGCUUGGAGGACACACAACGGUCUCUUCCCGUCCAUCAGGGAGCUGCGGGGGAUCCCUGAAUCAGUCCUUUCCCUGGUUUUCCCAUUCCCAGUCACCAAGCAUUGUUGAUUCUUCUUGUGGCACUCUGCCUCCUUCACCCCUCCCGCCCCUUCUCAGACCAGAUCUCCAGGAGAAAGCCUGAUGGGUGUUGUGGCUCCACCCAUCUGGGGGUGAGACCCUGCCACAGCAGCCUGGACUGCUGGGCUCCUGAAAGAAUAAGCCUAUCAGUUCUUUUUCCUCCACUUGUUUACAGACAGUAGAAAAUGCCGUGAUCUUGGGAGGAGUUGGGACUUCAGCACGAAACCCAUGCUUCCCCUGAGGCACUGGACCAGGCCCAAGCUGUAUGAGACCGCAGCACCACUCACCGUUCACAGUGUCUGAAACGGAGCCUGUUAUGGAAGCAGGAGAGUUGGUGGCCCGAGACUGGGGGGCUGAGGAGGCUGGGUCAUCCACGAUGACCAGCAUAUCACUGCUGCUCUCGUCCAGGGGGAUGGAGCCGGUGUGCAGCUCACUGCUGAUGGAGAUCUGGAGGAGGAAGGGUCGUGAUCACCACCAUUCUUGGCGCCCACAGCCCAUGGCCCUCAUACUCAUCCCCCUUCCCCAAGGCAGAAGAACUCCAGGAGAAGCAAAGGCUACAAGGUCAGGACAUAGUCCCCACCGCUGGGAUGAAGGCAUCUAAAAGGAGCCUCACCUCACUGAAAGGGCUGGGCAUGGCCGA